GAUGAACGCUGGCGGCGUGCCUCAAACAUGCAAGUCGAGCGAGGCUAUGAGUUACCGCAAGGUAAGGCAUAGCCUAGCGGCGAACGGGUGAGUAACACGUGGGUAACCUACCUGGAAGACAGGGAUAACGAUUCGAAAGGGUCGCUAAUACCUGAUAAUAUCCAUCUGCCGGAUGGCGGAGGGAAGAAAGGGGAAACCCGCUUUCAGAUGGGCCCGCGUCCCAUCAGCUAGUUGGUAAGGUAAAGGCUUACCAAGGCGACGACGGGUAGCCGGUCUGAGAGGAUGUACGGCCACACUGGGACUGAGAUACGGCCCAGACUCCUACGGGAGGCAGCAGUUGGGAAUCUUAGGCAAUGGACGAAAGUCUGACCUAGCGACGCCGCGUGAGGGAAGAAGGCCUUCGGGUUGUAAACCGUCUGUCAUGGGGAAGAAGGAAGUGACGGUACCCCAAGAGGAAGCCCCUGCUAACUACGUGCCAGCGAGCCGCGGUAAACAUACUCGUA
rnacentral:rRNA from 1 species